rnacentral:tRNA from 1 species
UUCAAAAAAUUUUAAGUACUUUACCUGUAUUAAAUUUAUUAAAUAAUUUUAUAA